GAUGAACUCUGGCGGCGUGCUUAACACAUGCAAGUCGAACGGAAAGGCCUCUGCUUGCAGGGGUACUCGAGUGGCGAACGGGUGAGUAACACGUGGGUGAUCUGCCUUGUACUUCGGGAUAAGCCUGGGAAACUGGGUCUAAUACCGGAUAGGACCAAUCUUUAGUGUGGUUGGUGGAAAGUUUUUUCGGUACGAGAUGAGCCCGCGGCCUAUCAGCUUGUUGGUGGGGUAAUGGCCUACCAAGGCGACGACGGGUAGCCGGCCUGAGAGGGUGUACGGCCACAUUGGGACUGAGACACGGCCCAGACUCCUACGGGAGGCAGCAGUGGGGAAUAUUGCACAAUGGGCGGAAGCCUGAUGCAGCGACGCCGCGUGAGGGAUGACGGCCUUCGGGUUGUAAACCUCUUUCGCUAGGGAAGAAGCCUUUUUGGUGACGGUACCUGGAUAAGAAGCACCGGCUAACUACGUGCCAGCAGCCGCGGUAAUACGUAGGGUGCAAGCGUUGUCCGGAAUUACUGGGCGUAAAGAGCUCGUAGGUGGUUCGUCGCGUCGUUAGUGAAAGCCCGGGGCUUAACUCCGGGUCUGCUGGCGAUACGGGCAUAACUUGAGUGCUGUAGGGGAGACUGGAAUUCCUGGUGUAGCGGUGGAAUGCGCAGAUAUCAGGAGGAACACCGAUGGCGAAGGCAGGUCUCUGGGCAGUAACUGACGCUGAGGAGCGAAAGCAUGGGUAGCGAACAGGAUUAGAUACCCUGGUAGUCCAUGCCGUAAACGGUGGGCGCUAGGUGUGGGGGUUUUUCACGACUUCCGUGCCGUAGCUAACGCAUUAAGCGCCCCGCCUGGGGAGUACGGCCGCAAGGCUAAAACUCAAAGGAAUUGACGGGGGCCCGCACAAGCGGCGGAGCAUGUGGAUUAAUUCGAUGCAACGCGAAGAACCUUACCUGGGCUUGACAUAUACGGGAUCGGCGUAGAGAUACGUUUUCCCUUGUGGCUCGUAUACAGGUGGUGCAUGGUUGUCGUCAGCUCGUGUCGUGAGAUGUUGGGUUAAGUCCCGCAACGAGCGCAACCCUUGUCCUGUGUUGCCAGCACGUUAUGGUGGGGACUCGCGAGAGACUGCCGGGGUUAACUCGGAGGAAGGUGGGGAUGACGUCAAAUCAUCAUGCCCCUUAUGUCCAGGGCUUCACACAUGCUACAAUGGUCGGUACAGUGGGUUGCGAUGCCGUGAGGUGGAGCUAAUCCCUUAAAGCCGGUCUCAGUUCGGAUUGGAGUCUGCAACUCGACUCCAUGAAGUCGGAGUCGCUAGUAAUCGCAGAUCAGCAACGCUGCGGUGAAUACGUUCCCGGGCCU
rnacentral:rRNA from 1 species